AUCGUUGCUUUGCUGCUGCUUACACGUGGGGGGAGCUGGAGGGGCUUUGGGGUUCUAACAUUGAACUGUCAUUCAUUCUUUGGGGCACUCCUCUGUUUUUGUGGCUGGUUGAGAAGAAAAAGAAUUUCAGGAUAUAUAUUGUAUACAUUUCUCUGACAUUAAAUGUACCUUUGAAACUUUGAAACCAUUGCCUCUCUUUAGUGUUGCCUCUUUGUCUAAACCUGAAUUCUUGUGGCUGUGAAUCAAUUUGACAAAUCACUUGAUGAGCCGAGCACUGUUUUGCUAUGGGACAGGUGACAGUCAAGUUACUGUUAAAAUAAGGUGUUAGUGGGGGGGGGGGAGGCAGGGGUGUCUCCAUUUAUCAAGCUCCCUCUCAGGUGUAUUAGCUUUCUGGCCUGGUGUUUAUAAGAAUCAUGGGUAGAAGGAAGCCAUUUGGCCCAUCAUGUAUGUACUAUCUUUCUGAAAUAGUGAACUAGUUAAUCCUGUUCCCCUGCUCUUUCAGCAUUCAACCAUUUAUCGUUUACCCCCUACAAGUUCCUUCUUCAAGCAGUAUGUUCUAGAUUAUAAAUACUCCACAUAUAAAUUGAAUUCUACUCUUCCCAUUUGUUCUUAAGCCAAUCAUGGUAAACCGUGUCCUCUGGUCACUGGCUUUCCUGCCACCGGAAUCCUAUUCCCAUCAUCUUCUCCAUCUAAAAGCUCUGGAAUACUUCUAUCAAAUCUCUUAACCAUCUCCGUUUUGCAGAGGAAGUGUCUCACUUUCCCCACAUAACACAGUCCUAGUAAAUUUUGUCUUAAUGUAAAAUUGGCCAGAAGACUUCAACUAAUAAACUGAGAUUUCUGAAAGACUCUGGUAGUCUGCGGCUGAUCACAGAUCUUCCCUGGGGCAGAAGCAGCUACAAUUUUCAAAACCAUUAUCAAGUUAACAAAUGUAGCUCCAUUAUGAGUCACUGUUUCAGUAUUGAGAUUAGAUCCUUGUUGGGAUCAUAGAUCAUUCUUCUACAAGUAGGAAAGUAUGAACAAAGAACAAGGGAACCAGAUAUAGAUCUAACGCCAGAGGGCAGAGAUUUUGACUCCUUCACAUAGGUGAAUGCAAGAGUUUCUGUCUCCAAACCUUAUCACACUUCUGUUUAGAUUGUCUACAUUUAACAUUUUUCUGCAUCACACUGAGGUGCCCCACUGUCUGAUUGAAGUGCCAAGAGGGAAAACCUUGUGUCAGGUGAAGCAGAUGGUGCUGCUGCCUCAUAGUUUCAGUGACCUGGGCUGAACCCUGAUCUUGCACGCUCAGUGUCCAGUUAGAGGUUCUACCUGUGAUCACAUAGGCUUCUUCCCUCAUCCCAAAAUCACGAUGGCUGGCUGGUUAAUGGUUCAUUGUAAAUUGUCGCCGGUGUGAUUUGGUGGUAGGAGAUUCAGUGGGUGGGGAUUGUGGGUAAGCUGGUGGGCUUCUGAGAGAAAGUCACAUAGAACAUGGAACAAUAUAACACAGGAAUAGAUACUUCAACCUUUGAGCUUUGACACGCUAACUAAGCCAAUGACGCCUAAUCCCUUCUGUCUGCAUGUGGUCUAUGACCUUUCUUUCUCUGCAUAUUCAUGUGUCUAGUGUAUUCCAGGCACCCAAAGUUUGCCCUGCACAUCUCCUUUGAACUUACGAGCACGAGAGCAUCAGCAGAUGCUGGAAAUCCAGAGUGACACACAAUGCUGGAGGAACUCAGCAGGGGUCUUUUGAAGACACACGCUGGAGUUACACACUGACUACAGUUCUUUGCAGGAAUGGGACCCACUUUUGGGGUUUCACGACUGGCCGUUAUUCAGCAUGCCAAGAGUGCUGCCUAGGAGCUUCAUUUGCCUUUGGAGGGCCGAGAUCUUGUGGCUCUGGAGGCGAGUAGAUCGAAGGUCGGUGUUUGGGCAGGAGAUUGGUUUGUCAUGUGAGAUGGAAGCUCUGAUGCUGUGUGCUCAGAAACCCGAGAUCUUUGGGCACAGAGCUUGGAAAAAAUGAUGCAACAGACUUUCAACAUCGUAAAUCAGUGAGCUGUUUGUUAUGUCUCCCCUCUCGCUGUGAAAUGGAGACAUUAGGGAGGGAGAGAGCCUGUGGUGUGUCGAAUACCAGGUGAAUGAGCAGUCUUUGGAGUACUGCAAGUCUGUAUCUUUGCUGUUGCUUUGCUCACACUUGAGUGCUUGGUGGCGGGUGCUGAUGCUUUUCUUUGUCGGUGGGAGGAGUGGGGGAUCAUUGCUUGCUGCCACUUAUGCGCAGGAGGGAGGGGACUUUGGGUUCUAAGUCAUUCGUUCUUUGGGGGCACUCCUCUGUUUUUGUGGAUGGCUGCAAAGAAAAAGCAUUUCAGGAUGUAUAUUGUAUAUAUUUCUCUGACAUUAAAUGUUCCUUUGAAACCUUGAGGGGUUCCAGAGUACAA